rnacentral:tRNA from 1 species
GCAGGGGUGCCCGAGCUGGCCAAAGGGGCGAGACUGUAAAUCUCGUGGGCGCCGCCCUUCGGAGGUUCGAAUCCUCCCCCCUGCACCA